rnacentral:rRNA from 1 species
AUUGAACGCUGGCGGCAGGCCUAACACAUGCAAGUCGAACGGUAACAGGAAGAAGCUUGCUUCUUUGCUGACGAGUGGCGGACGGGUGAGUAAUGUCUGGGAAACUUCCUGAUGGAGGGGGAUAACUACUGGAAACGGGAGCUAAUACCGCAUAACGUCGCAAGACCAAAAAGGGGGACCUUCGGGCCUCUUGCCAUCGGAUGUGCCCAGAUGGGAUUAGCUAGUAGGUGGGGUAACGGCUCACCUAGGCGACGAUCCCUAGCUGGUCUGAGAGGAUGACCAGCCACACUGGAACUGAGACACGGUCCAGACUCCUACGGGAGGCAGCAGUGGGGAAUAUUGCACAAUGGGCGCAAGCCUGAUGCAGCCAUGCCGCGUGUAUGAAGAAGGCCUUCGGGUUGUAAAGUGCUUUCAGCGGGGAGGAAGGGAGUAAAGUUAAUACCUUUGCUCAUUGACGUUACCCGCAGAAGAAGCACCGGCUAACUCCGUG